CCGGAAGUGCUAGGUCUGUCAGUGUGACGCAAUGCAGUAUGGGAGGUCAUUGUCGGAGGAUCGUGGAGUAGUCUUUAACCUUGUGGCAGCAUAGCUGUCCUGGGGUAUUUGUAGGGAGAAUUCAGCUUUUUUGUUUGUAUAUUUAUUUGAGCAUUGUCUAACUGUCACCCACGAUGUCACUCGCUGCAGAGGCGUUUGUCUCCCAAAUCGCAGCAUCUGAACCCUGGCCAGAAAAUGCUACUCUUUACCAGCCGCUAAGGGAUAACCAGAUUCUGCUGUCGGACUGCGCCUCUUCCCUUGCUGUGCAGGCAUAUCUGCGUAUGUGCGACCUGCCACUCAGGGUCUGUUGUCGGGCCAACGCCGAGCACAUGUCUCCCUCUGGUAAGUCUCUGUGCUCUGUAGGGUCCCCUCCUCUUUUACUGCUUCCCUGUGUUGCCGCUGGUACAGUGGCAAAGCUGCUAUCCCAUGAAGCACUGGGGCCGUCAGGUGCACUUACUUGCCUGCAUGCACUCUGUGUGUGUGUGUGUGUGUGUGUGUGUGUGUGUGUGUGUGUGUGUGAGUGCGUGCGUGUGAGAGAGAGUGUGUGUGAGUGCGUAUGUCUCUGUGGAUUUGUAUUUACCACAUUGUGGAGACCAAGAGGGUAUUUUUCGUACAUGAAUUACUCUAUUAGCCGGAUGUAAUUGUUGACAAUUUGGCAUGAUCCUGGAUCUGUCGGUUUUUUUAAACUCUUGCUGGAUGUGUUGUCAUAGCAGCACAUCCAAAUCCUCAAGCCUACUCGGAGCAGGUUUGUUCUACGUAAACAAGGAUUAGCUCACACACUUAAUCAGUGUCCGUGCAUGGAAAUCCAUUCGGUCAUGGCCUCGCCAUUUAUGGAUGAGCGACCAAUUGCAAUCGGUGCACAAAUAAUAAGAAGGGAAUUUCAAAUUGCAAGGGUUUUGCGUGAUCGGCAAGAUCCUUUAUUGUUGCCGGAUGACAUUCUUUUCAAAAGAUACCACUUGAGCCGAGAUGGAAUAUUAUAUCUUAAAGAUUUAUUAGCUCCAUAUAAUAGAAGUCCAACUAGGCGAAGUCGGGCUCUCGCAGCCACACAGACAAUGUGCAUUGCCUUGAGAUAUUUUGCAAGCGGCACUUUUUUGUACAUUGUAGGCAAUGCGGAAAAUAUAUCAGAGUACAGUUUGCCAGGCAAUUUGCAAUUGCAAGUGCAGGCAAUUUUAUGCCAUUGCAGGUAAUGUGUACGCAAUAAAUUUACAGUUCUAUAAAGAAUUUAAUAUUCUCAUUACCCAGAAUUUCCAAAGGUUUUGUCUGCCUUCUUAUUAGCUCCAAAAGGAAUGUUUUAUAAAUAUUAAAGAUCUCCUACAUUUCAUAUGCAUAAAAUUAAUAAACACAUACAUACAUUCAUACAGUGCCUGACAAAAG